CUGUGCAUUUGUUCACUGUUAGGGAAAUUAUGAUGCAUACUUUCCCUCUUGUUAUUAUUAAACAGUUUGCAUAGAAUAAUAUUAUACUGAAUAC